rnacentral:tRNA from 1 species
GCAUGGGUGGUUCAGUGGUAGAAUUCUCGCCUGCCAUGCGGGAGGCCCGGGUUCGAUUCCCGGCCCAUGCA